rnacentral:rRNA from 1 species
AGUCGUUGUAAUGAAUUUGAAGUGGACAGAGAACUUGUUCAAAGAAAGCAGAUGAUGAUUUACAACAAUGGCUUUAGUGGCGGACUGGUGAGUAACGCGUAAGCAAUCUGCCUAUUAGAGGGGAAUAACAAUGAGAAAUCAUUGCUAAUACCGCAUAUGCCAUAAGGAUCACAUGAUUCCAGUGGGAAAGGAGCAAUCCGCUAAUAGAUGAGCUUGCGUCUGAUUAGUUAGUUGGUGGGGUAACGGCCUACCAAGACGACGAUCAGUAGCCGGACUGAGAGGUUGAACGGCCACAUUGGGACUGAGAUACGGCCCAGACUCCUACGGGAGGCAGCAGUCGGGAAUAUUGCGCAAUGGAGGAAACUCUGACGCAGUGACGCCGCGUAUAGGAAGAAGGUUUUCGGAUUGUAAACUAUUGUCGUUAGGGAAGAUACAAGACAGUACCUAAGGAGGAAGCUCCGGCUAACUACGUGCCAGCAGCCGCGGUAAUACGUAGGGAGCGAGCGUUAUCCGGAUUUAUUGGGGUGUAAAGGGUGCGUAGACGGACUUACAAGUUAGCUGUGAAAUCCCUCGGCUUAACUGAGGAACUGCAACUAAAACUGUAAGCCUUGAGUGCAGGAGAGGUAAGUGGAAUUCUU